AUUCCUCAUGGUUUCCAGGUUUAUCCCUGAUCUCCUCCAGGAUUUCAUCCCUGAGUCUCUGCAGUUGUAUCUCUGACAUUCUCCUGGCAUCCCUGAGAGAUUCCCCAUUCCCUGCCAAUCCCAAUCCCUGUGCCAAUCCCUGCCAUUCCCUGCCAUUCCCUGUGCCAAUCCCUGUGCCAUUCCCAAUGCCAUUCCCAAUGCCAUUCCCUGUGCCAAUCCCUGUGCCAUUCCCAAUGCCAAUCCCAAUGCCAUUCCCUGCCAUUCCCAAUGCCAAUCCCAAUGCCAUUCCCUGCGCCAUUCCCUGCGCCAUUCCCUGUGCCAAUCCCUGUGCUAAUCCCUGUGCCAUUCCCUCUGCCAUUCCCUGCCAUUCCCUGCCAUUCCCUGUGCCAAUCCUUGUGCCAAUCCUUGUGCCAUUCCCUGUGCCAUUCCCUGUGCCAUUCCCUGUGCCAUUCCCUGUGCCAAUCCCAAUGCCAAUCCCUGCCAUUCCCUGUGCCAAUCCCUGUGCCAUUCCCUGCCAUUCCCAGUGCCAUUCCCUGUGCCAAUCCCAAUGACAUCCCAGUGCCAUUCCCUGCCAUUCCCUGCCAUUCCCAAUGCCAUUCCCUGCCAUCCCCAAUGCCAUUCCCAAUGCCAUUCCCAGUGCCAUUCCCAAUGCCAUUCCCAAUGCCAUUCCCUCUGCCAUUCCCUGCCAUUCCCUGUGCCAUUCCCUGUGCCAUUCCCUGCCAUUCCCAGUGCCAUUCCCAAUGCCAAUCCCAAUGCCAUUCCCAAUGCCAUUCCCUGCCAUUCCCUGCCAAUCCCAAUGCCAUUCCCGGUCCCAAUCCCUGUGCCAUUCCCUGUGCCAUUCCCAAUGCCAUUCCCUGCCAUUCCCUGUGCCAAUCUCUGCCAUUCCCAAUGCCAUUCCCAAUGCCAUUCCCAAUGCCAUUCCCUGCCAUUCCCUGUGCCAAUCUCUGCCAUUCCCAAUGCCAUUCCCAAUGCCAAUCCCAAUGCCAUUCCCAAUGCCAUUCCCAAUGCCAUUCCCAAUGCCAAUCCCAAUGCCAAUCCCUGCCAUUCCCUGUGCCAUUCCCUGUGCCAUUCCCUGCCAUUCCCAAUGCCAUUCCCAAUGCCAUUCCCUGCCAUUCCCUGUGCCAUUCCCAAUGCCAAUCCCAAUGCCAUUCCCUGCCAUUCCCUGUGCCAAUCCCUGCGCCAAUCCCUGUGCCAUUCCCUGCCAUUCCCAAUGCCAUUCCCUGUGCCAAUCCCUGUGCCAUUCCCUGCUACUCUCUGCCAUUCCCAGUGCCAUUCCCAGCCCUAAUCCCUGCCAUUCCCUGUGCCAAUCCA
rnacentral:lncRNA from 1 species